rnacentral:piRNA from 1 species
CUCGCAGAAAACGUACUGGCUUUACGUCU